CAGUAUUCGAUGGUUACAACUGUUCUAAGACGAUCUCGAACACCGACUAGGAUUAUUGAAAUGGCUGAUGGACGUAUGUAGACAAUACAAAUGAACCUCGAAACGAAUGUAGUUUUAAUUUAAUUGCUAUUUAAAAGUGUCAAUUAAACACUGAAUUGGACCAAAUUUGCAGCGGUUGACAGAUCUUUUAUGACCUCCGUUUCUUUGUACAUAAAAUGAAAUACAUAACAUACAUUAUGCCAAUAAAGAGCAUUGCACAUGCUGUUGUACAGUAUACACAGUAUUUAGAAGUACCUGUUUGAAUUGUGAACACCUGACAGUGUAUAUAGGUAAUAUAUAAAAUAUGUAACGUACCUAUAUAUAUUACACGCGUCAAAUACUCCCUCCAAUACCAAUACACCAUAUAUUCUGUUUCACUGUGAUUCCAAAACACAAAUUUUGAGUUUUUACCCAAUAUUGCAGAUACCAUACGGCUUUAUUGUCACUAUAUAUUAUGUAUAGUAACUAUACAAUUGAAUUUUUCAUGGUGAAUUAUAGUAAUAGGGUGUGGGUUCAUGGUAUUUGGAACCUACCAUAAAAUAUCCAUGUAAUAUAAUAAGUAUCUAUAUGUUA